rnacentral:tRNA from 1 species
GGCUCAGAUUAGAUUGAACUGCAAAUUCGAUUUUGGGUUUCCCCCUGGGCUU